rnacentral:misc_RNA from 2 species
CCGAGUUUUCAACUCCCAAACCCUUCUGUGAACAUACCUAUCGUUGCUUCGGCGGACUCGCCCCAGCGUCCGGCCGGCCUCGCGCCGGCCGCGGCCUGGAUCCAGGCGGCCGCCGGAGACCCCUAAACUCUGUAUUCUCAGUAUCUUCUGAAUCCGCCGCAAGGCAAAACAAAUGAAUCA